GCAUCGAUAGCUCAGCGGUAGAGCGCUUGCUAUGUGUAAGUGGUCACAGGUUCGAUUCCUGUUCGGUGGC